AUAACAUGGCGCCCCCUACAGAUGAGGAUAUCGAAUGGUUUAGGUCUACAUUUCGUCCUAUUCCUAAGCCCCAACUGCCAGAUGAUUGCAUUGAAUAUUCCUUGUAUUGCGUAUCCACCAGCAACGUCGACAGCACUGAAGAUGCUGAUUUAAUUCGUAACCGUCUCACCGAAGUGCAGAAAGCUGCAGCCGAGCUCGUGAGGGCGUUCUUAAAAGACUAUAUAUGGCAGCGUGACACCUUUAUGUUGGAAAUGAUAAGAGAAGAUGGAUUGAAUUUACUUCGCGGACGAACUGAAUAUGGAGACUCAAUAGAGGAUGAAUGGGUUAUUGUCUAUAUAUUGCGGGAGUUGACGCGACAGUUUGAUGAUUUAUGGGUGAAGGUCUCAGACAGUGAUGGCGAAUUUUUGCUGGUGGAGGCCGCACCAACAUUGCCAUCCUGGCUUGAACCGGACAUUGCAAAUCAUAGAGUUUGGAUUCACAAGGGACGACUACUGAUCAUCAAACCAGAGAAAGACAAGAGAUCUAUCCCUAAACCACUAACAUUCCGAGAGGCAAGGAAAAUAAUUGUUGGAGAUCCUAAGCGACUAAUGCACUCACCAACGAUAGAAGCUGAAGCGUUUUAUCGACUUCGCAAUUACCCGACGCAAAUCGCUGACAACCUCCACACAUCCCCAAUUACCAUACCGCGGAAACUUGCGUACAUACUACAUAUAAAACCGGCUUAUAUAUCCCCAGCAGUGGACGCGUUCUAUAUUAGGGAUCCAAUAUCCUUAAGACCUUUAAAAUCAAAGGACACAAGUGCGUUAAUAUUCAAACCAGAGGAUUUAGUCACCGUUAGCGUCCGCUUUACGAGGGUUGGAUACGCACAAUUAAAAAGCCAGGAUUUUGAACUGCCUCCAGCUUGGAAGGGCAAACUACCACCUGAAACCCCGAAAUUGAAUUAUGCUCGCGCUGAAAUGGGGGUAAAGGUUACCAGUGGAUUCGAAAUGCUGUUGUCAGACCCUCAAAACCAGGAUAAAGUAGCAGUAAGGGAAAUAAAACUCAUACUCGAAGAUAUUGAAUCUGGAGAUGACAAAUUACCUACGAAUGACGAAAUUGAAUCGACAUGGGAGAAACGUGAAGAUGACGAGAAGUGGCUCGAUAUAAGCUUUGAGGACCUUGAGCAGGAGCUGAAAGGGCGACAUGGGGCAGACAAAAGUGCUAAAUUUGCCGGCGCAUUUGGUGACCAAGCUGCCCAAGAGAAUCUUCAAAGAAUAGUGGAACGAUUCGAGCAAUUUUUGAAUGACGACCGCGCUGGCCUUGAUGGAGCCGAUCUUAUCGACGAGACGGACUCCGAUGAUUGUGACGUUGAUACUGACGACAUCAGUAGCGACGGUGAAGAUAAGGAAGUAUCAUUCGAUGAGGAUGAAUUCUCGAAGAUGAUGCAAGAAAUGAUGGGACUUCCUACGAAACCGGAAGGGAAUACCCGACCCAUGAUGAUGAAGCGAUUUGAAGAGUUGAACUCAGACGGCGACGAAGAUGAAGACGACAACGAAGAGAUAGAAAAAUUGUCAAAACAGAUGGAGGCUGAAUUAAGAGCAACGGGAGUCCUCGAUUUGAAUCCAGAAGGGAACAAGAAACAUGCUAUUAAGGGGAAGAACCCAACUCGUUCCAGAGAGAAGUCGGACUCGAGCCAGGAAAUCGAAAGGAGCACUGAUGAUGAGGGUGAUUAUGGUGUUGAGAGUAUGGAUGUCAACCUUGCUAGGAACUUGCUUGAGAGCUUUCGCAGCCAGGCUGGCUCAGCAGGGCCCGGAAGCAAUUUGUUAGGCAUGAUGGGUAUGACGUUGCCAAAAGAUGACCGUGAAUCGAAAUAGAAAAUCAGAAGCUACAAUACCAUACAUAAUAAACGUGUACCAUUUGGACGAGGAAGCGACAGCAGGGGAAGGAAUGUGGUUGGCGCAGGACCUCAAUUUCAUUACCUCCGACUGUCGGACUUUCAAAGCCACUAUUUGCAGAUAUAUGGCCCGGCCAGCCAAACAAUUACAUAUUCCGCAUCUCUAAAUUCAAAAUAUCUCUGUACACAGAUGCGAUUGGCAAGGUAUAUUCAAGUAGAUUAGCACGCCCUGAUCGAUGUGAUGCCACGGAUAACAAACAUCACCACGAAUACCAAUCAACCCCUCGGUUUCCAGACAUAACCAAAUCACCAGAGCUCCCUCCUAACCAAUCCAACACCACUACUCUCGUCAUAUCUCAAUCUGUAAACAUUCUUCAAACUUUUCUAGAUCUUCACAACAACUCCAGCAGGAUCAAAAGGCACAACUUCUCCCGCAGCAUUCACCAUCGCUGGUUCAGUAUCGCUACGAGCUAUAAUCGAGAAUUAGCAAUCUUCCUCUUGGUCCUGAGUCGUAUUGGUUUGGUUCUAACAUACAAUCGACUGUCGAUGGAGCCGCGAUGGCGACAGCCAGACAGGAGAAGAGAAUGAUGAUGAGUUUCAUUUUGGGCAAGAUCGCUUUAACUGUUCAGGUAGAAUUUGAAUAAGGAGAAGAUGAUUGUCUUAGGGAGGGACAAAGGUCGGCCGGCGACAAAAAAAAAAAAAGCUUGCUUCAAUGGAAACUGGUCUAUGAGUAAAUUUGAGGAUUUGACAAGAGGCCAGAUCGAUUAAAAACAGGAAAAGAAUCGGGUACUUUCACAUUUUAAAUGGAUUCAAGAAAGGAAGAGGGCAAAAUAUAACCUAUGUGAAAAGGUAGACGAAAAAGUGAUAAGCUAAAAUAGGCAUAAGGUAAACCUCUUCACCUAAGGGGCUUUCGUGAUGUAUAAAAUUCCUACCGGAUAAGCUACAGGGGAAAGCAGUUUCACUUCACAUAAUGAGACAAGCUAUGUGGCAGCUAUGCCAGAGAUGGUGCUAUUUUGCUUGAAUUUGGAAUUCUGCAUCCACGUUGAAGAGAAACACGAAAAAAAGUAGAGAGUGGAAGUUACGUAGUCCUAUGAAGGGGAAUCCUGGAGAAUUUGGAUCUCAAACCCAAAACUGUCAUGAAAUUCGCUCUUUCGAGAAGCAUAUGUCGGAUGAUGACGACAAAAAUUACUUAGUUUGUAAUGGAUUCCGAAUCCAGGGAUGUUGCUGAAACUAGGCUGAGACGAGAGGAGUUUUCAAACACAGCAAUUGCGUGACCAUUGAAGGAGUGGUGACAGGCUGAUUGUGCCUGAUACUAGCUAUUCUUCAGAUAAUUAUCUCUCGACAUUAAUAACACUUUUGGCUGACGAAUUGUUGACAAUCAAUUAAGAUUUACUCCAUAUUUUACCCC
rnacentral:sRNA from 2 species